GAUGAAGAACGCAGCGAAAUGCGAUAAGUAAUGUGAAUUGCAGAAUUCAGUGAAUCAUCGAAUCUUUGAACGCACCUUGCACCCUUUGGCAUUCCGAAGGGUAUGCUCGUUUGAGUGUCAUUGUACUCUCACACUUCCAAUCUUUGGAUUGGGAGCAGUGGACUUGGGUGUUGCUGCUUACUGUGGCUCACCUCAAAUCGAUUCGUGCACCUCUUGGUUGGACAUAGUACGGCGUGAUAAGUGUCUUCGCCGGCACCUCAGUAGAGGGUGGCUGAUCAGGAGCUCUGUGCUUCAAACCGUCCUCGGUCAAAAACUGACAACUUGACCUCAAAUCGAGUAGGACUACCCGCUGAACUUAAGCAUAUCAAUAAGCGGAGGA
rnacentral:misc_RNA from 1 species